UUUAACAUUCUUGCUUUGCAUACAUAUGAAAAAGAUUGAAGCUAGAGAAACUUUUCUUUUAUGAAAAUAGACUAAUACACCUUGAGAACGAAUAUUUCUUCUAUAAAGGAAUUGAGUGUCAUGGGAUAGGCUGGCUUGAGGUGAUGAUCUGCAUAAUAUUCAUGUAAUAGCUUAUGCAAGAGUGUUUAAAACUUCCAGAUUUUAUUACACAACAUGAUGGAGUCAAAAAAACGACACAAUUACACAAUUGCAUACAAGCUACAAGUAAUACAAUAUGCUAAGGAAAACGGCAACAGAGCUGCUGCUAGGCAUUUUGGUCCACCUCCAACUGAGAAAAUGAUUCGUUUUUGGCGAAAACAAGAGGAAGAACUUCAGAAAGCUGUGAAAUCAAAACAUGGUCUUCGCACAAAGAAAGCUAAAUGGGUGGAACUGGAAGAGGAGAUGAAGGCUUGGGUUGUUGAUCAAAGGAAUCAGGGUGCAAUAGUAACAACUAAACAAAUAAUUUUUGAAGCUAAAGAAAGGGCAACUGCCAAAGGCUAUGAUGAUUUUGGUGGUAAUGAGGGCUGGUGUUAUAGAUUUAUGAAAAGGAAUGGAUUAGCAAUGCGAACUAAAACAAAAAUAUCACAAAAAAUGCCUAUGGCAUAUGAAAACAAAAUUCUUGAGUUUCAUAAAUACGUUAUAAAUCUCAGAAAGGACACCCAUUUUGAAAUGGGACAAAUUGCAAAUAUGGAUGAAGUACCACUGUCAUUUGAUGUGCCUUCUAAUAAAACAGUUGAUUUUAAAGGUUCUAAGACUGUGACUAUUAAAACCUCAGGCCAUGAGAAAACUCAUUUUACAGCAGUACUGGCUUGUUGUGCUGAUGGCACUAAAUUACCACCUUUCCUCAUAUUCAAGAGGAAAACCUUUCCCAAAGAAAGCAUUCCACCAGGUAUCUUUAUUCAUGUUCAUCCUAAGGGCUGGAUGGAUGAGGAUGGUGUGAAGCUGUGGCUUGACAAAGUAUGGUCACGGCGUCCUGGGGGACUUAUAAAAAAAACAUCACUUCUUGUGUGGGAUCAAUUUAGGGCUCAUUUAACUCAGGCUACCAAGAACAGAGUACACAAUCUAAACACAAAAGUGGCUGUAAUACCUGGUGGACUAACAUGCCAGUUGCAACCACUUGAUGUUUGCAUAAACAAACCUUUCAAGGUGUAUAUGCGUGAGCAGUGGAACGCGUGGAUGAGACUCCCGCAACAUGACAAAACACCAUCGGGCUUCAUCAAGAAGCCUACAAUAGCCCAGGUUUGCCAGUGGGUAAAAAUUGCUUGGGAUAAAGUAAAAACAGAGACAGUGGUGCUUUCAUUCAAGAAAUGUGGCAUCAGUAAUGAUCUUGAGGGCACAGAGGAUGACCUUCUAUACGAAGGCAGUGACUCUUCUACUUCUAGUAGUGAUUCUGGUGAGCUUGAGGAAUGCAGUACUGAUGACAGUGACAAUGAUUUUGUAGGGUUUGGAUGUGAAUAAAAAUGCUACAGUUGUGCUAAGCAAAUUUCAGAAUGAAUAAAAUCAAUUUAUUUUCAUGAAUUUGAAUUAAAAACUCUUUAGUUUUGUUGUGUAAGAUUUCAGAAUGAAUAAGAUCAAUUUAUUUGCACGAAAAUUUAUUUGAAUUAAAAAAAGGAAUGAAACACUUCAGAUUUGGUUUUUUACUUUUGUAACUUCUAAGAAUAAAACUAAUUUAUUUUCACGGAUUUGAAUUUGAAUAAAAUGUAGUAGGUAAACUAUAGUAAUUUGUGCAAGGUAUUCAAAGUGAAUAUUAUGAAUUUGUUGUGAUUUGAAUACGAAUUAAAAGAUACAAUUGUACUAAAUUUUAUGAUGAAUGAAAUAAUAUUUCAAGUAAAAUACACUUUAGAAAAUAAAGUUAGUAAGUCUGCUUUUACACAUCCUUUGGCUUUGAAAAUGUACUAAAAUACUGCAUAAGAAUUACAUGUGAAAGAUGCUAAAAAAUAAAGUAUGAAAAAAUUUUAUUAUCACUGUAGUCCCUCAGUUAAUGGUGCCGCCAAGAGCUAGGUGCAGUUAAUGUUUACAUUCAGCUGAACCGCAUUAAGACUGAAACUCCCCUGCUUACCACACCUUUUGGGCACUAGAGGCUGUGACAUCACAGUCUGCAUGGCCCCAACUAAAAUACCAAUAAGAAGAUUGUGUUUACACGUCAGCAGGAUUGGUACAAUCUUGUCUUUCAAUACCCUCAACCGAACCAUUACGUUCUGGCUUUCAAGGCCCGCAGCCUUACCAAGAUUUGACUCCAGAAAUCCAACCAGCUCCACUGUAUCUAGUCUGAAACACUACCUGUAUACCACACCUUUGGGACGCCAGGCUGUGAUGUCACGGCCAUCACAGCCUCAACAAAACCCCAAAAAGAACAAAACUGGGUGCGUCUUAUGAGCCCGUGCGUCUUAUGAGCCAUCAAAUACGGUAAAUGUGCUAUCGAGGAAGCAAAGUCACUGCUAGAGACGAGUAGAAAGGCAGUGAUACAGUACUACGGGGAAGUACUAAAAAGAUUUCCUGACAAAGACGGCAUUCUUGACAUUGAUGUGACUUACGACGGAAGUUGGCACACAAGGGGACACAAAUCACUUUUAGGAGUUGGUGCAGUGGUGGAUGCAAACUGUGGACUGGUGGUGGACUUUCAUACAGUAUCCAGGCUUUGUAUUAUGUGCACUCGAAUGAAAACUAGAGUGAAAAAGAAAAUAAUGACACAGAAAGCUUUUGAUGAGUGGAAGACAAAACAUGCUCCUCGUUGUGACGUGAAUCAUGAAGGUUCAUCUGCUAGCAUGGAGGCUGCUGCUGCAAUGUGCUUGUGGAACAGGUCGCUUUCACACAGCUUGAGAUAUGUGAAUUUUAUCUCUGAUGGUGACAGUUCUUCCUUCAAAGCUGUCACAGCUCUUUCUGAUGGUAAUGGGCCCUAUGGUAAGAAACACACUGUGAAAAAGGAAGAGUGUGUGAACCACGUAUCCAAGUGACUUGGUACAGCACUCAGAAAUCUCAAACAGACCCCCCACUUUACAGAGGAGGGUGGAAAGAGGAGGAAGAUAAUGUUGGGGGGACACUCGAGGCUGACAGAUAGUGUUAUCAACAGACUGACUUACUACUUUGGCAUCAGUGUUCGACAUCGCGCCAAUACAACUCCCGAGGAGAUGUGAAAUGACAUCAUGUCUUCUUUUUACCACUGCUCCUCUACAGAUGAGAACCCCAAGCAUAACCUUUGCCCCAAAUCUGAAGAAUCCUGGUGCUUCUACCAAAAAGCUCUGUCAAAGGGCAACACUCCACCCAGCCAUUCCACUAUGAAGAUAAAAUUCUGGUUGGAUCCUGAAGGACUGAGGCUAGUAGAAGAUGUCUACAAAAGGCUAACAACUGAUGAUAUGAUGACGAGGUGCCUCAGAGGGAAGACUCAAAAUCCCAAUGAGUCAUUACACCACAGAAUAUGGCGCUACUGCUCAAAGCACAAAAAUGCCACGAAGGAAAUGCUGGACUUCGCAACUGCACAGGCGGUGUCCAACUUCAAUGGAGGAUAUCUUUCUAGCGACCUGUGCAGUAAGUUGGGAGUGGCCUUCACAGACAAGAACUACAAAUACCUUACAAAGGAAAACACCAAAAUGGACAGGCCGAUCAAGAAGAAGAUCAGAAGCAAACAGCUGCAAAAGGACCUGGAGGCAUAUGCAUCUGGUGCGCAUUAGCCAUGCAGCGACACUCCCAGAACUUCAGAGCCUCUUUUCUCAAAACAUAGAUACCAUGAUGAAACUUCGCCUCAUCAUUUACCAUAUGGUUACACACUUUGAGUAAAAUUUACAAAAGGCUA